rnacentral:rRNA from 1 species
UACGUAGGGGGCUAGCGUUGUCCGGAAUCAUUGGGCGUAAAGAGCGUGUAGGCGGCUCGGUAAGUCCGCUGUAAAAGUCAAAGGCUCAACCUUUGAAUGUCAGUGGAUACUGCCGGGCUAGAGUCCGGAAGAGGCGAGUGGAACUCCUGGUGUAGCGGUGAAAUGCGCAGAUAUCAGGAAGAACACCCGUGGCUAAGGCGGCUCUCUAGUACGGUACUGACGCUGAGACGCGAAAGCGUGGGGAGCGAACAGG